rnacentral:lncRNA from 1 species
GAGAAGGGAAGGUUUAUAAUAUCGAGCCGCGAAAGCAGGGUGAAGCGAUGGUUGUCGGAAGCUUUGUGGUGACUGGUGGGGUGAAAAGAGUUGGGGAUGUCCAGACUGCAUCUUCCGAUUGAAUAGCAAUACAUUGGAGGUGAAGUGCACAGAUUUAUCUCAAUUUGGAGAGAUCAUCAACAAGUGUCAUCAUAUUUUGGAUUUUCAAGUGAAGCAUAAUAUUAGAGAUAUUAAUUGUGUAGCUCGAACUCGAUCGUGUUAUUGUCCGUG